rnacentral:rRNA from 1 species
GACGAACGCUGGCGGCGUGCUUAACACAUGCAAGUCGAACGGAAAGGCCCUGCUUUUGUGGGUGUUCGGCUGGGGAAUGGGGUGUUAACCCUUGGAUUACCCCUCCUUGUCCUUGGUAACAUCUCAAGACACCCGGGAAUAUACCGGAUAUGCACACCUGGCGACUGGUGGGGGUUGGGAAAUUUCGGCGGUUGGGGAUGGUAUGUCGGCUUAUCCGCUUGGUGGGGGGGGAGUGGCCUACCAAGGCCUUGCCUGGUUGUCGGCCUGGGAGGGUGACCCGCCACAUGGGGACUGAGAUACGGACCAGACUGCUACGGGAGGCAGCAGUGGGGAAUAUUGCACAAUGGGCGGAAGCGUGAUGCAGCAACGCCGCGAGCGUGAUGACGGCCUUCGGGUUGUAAACCGCUUUCGCCUGUGACGAAGCGUGAGUGACGGUAAUGGGUAAAGAAGCACCGGCUAACUACGUG